ACGAAUACGAUACAGCUUUUACCCCUCAUUGCACAACACCACACAACAUCGACAUUUUGCAAUAGCCUGCGAGCAGGCUCAUCCCCACCAAAAUCGGAACUUCUCGUAAACGGUUCGGAGUCAAACUGCAAAAAAGUUUCGGCUAUCUUUAAAAUGGCUAUCUUUGCGGGAUGAUAGUUGCCUGCCUUACGUCACAGAUUUAUUCUCAGUGAUUGGCUGACUUUGGCGAUUCGCCCAAGCAACGCCCACGUCAACCCAAUGUCAAAAAAUUUUUACUUCUGAUACACUACAAAUAAAACCAGGAGAGAACUGAUCUUGAUUCUUACCUUUUUAAAAAGAUGAGGCAACACCAUGGUUGGUAGGGUCUUCGAGAGAAUGGAUAUCAAGAAAUGGAGGAUACCAAAUAAACUAUUUUUCGUUGUAAACACUUAUAGCAAGCAAAAUUAAUAAAUCGCUUGCUGAAAGCUAUAUUCAAGACCGAAAAAGUCAAGUGCAUUGAAGUGCCAAAGAUCAUCACUACUUCGACCUAGCCCCAUAAACUCUGGGUAACCUGGCAAAGAAAAGAGGCUUAUAGCAAGCAAAAUUAAUAAAUCGCUUGUCAAGGCUAUAUUCAAGACUGAAAAAGUCAAGUGCAUUGAAGUUCCAAAAAUCAUUACUACCUCUACCUAGCCUCAUUAAAGAUUACUGUUCAAAUGUGACAAGGCCAAAAACGAAAGCAGAUCCUCAUGAUGAGCAACUGUGGAUCAAUCAACACAAAUCACCCUUGGCAAACGGAAAGAUAAGUGCAUUUAAGCAUAUUUCAUGAUAUGGUUUUCUUAUGGUCAACUUAAGGUCCUCUGUUUCUGCUUGUUGAUAUCACUUUUCGAUUUGCUAACCGCGGUAGCGUUCAUUUAUUCGGCAGCGUUCAUUUUUUCGGUAGCGUUCAUUUUUUCCCUAGCGUUCAUUUUUUCGGCAGCGUUCAUUUU
rnacentral:lncRNA from 1 species